CUAGAGUUUGAUCCUGGCUCAGGACGAACGCUGGCGGCGUGCCUAACACAUGCAAGUCGAACGAGAAUCAUUGGAACGGAGAUUCGUCGAAGGGAAGAUGAGGACAGUGGCGGACGGGUGAGUAACGCGUGAGCAACCUGCCCUUCGGAGGGGGACAACAGCUGGAAACGGCUGCUAAUACCGCAUGACAUAUUCGGGAGGCAUCUCUUGAAUAUCAAAGAUUUAUCGCCGAAGGAUGGGCUCGCGUCUGAUUAGCUGGUUGGUGGGGUAACGGCCUACCAAGGCGACGAUCAGUAGCCGGACUGAGAGGUUGAACGGCCACAUUGGGACUGAGAUACGGCCCAGACUCCUACGGGAGGCAGCAGUGGGGAAUAUUGGGCAAUGGGGGCAACCCUGACCCAGCAACGCCGCGUGAAGGAAGAAGGCUUUCGGGUUGUAAACUUCUUUGACGAGGGACGAAUGAUGACGGUACCUCGAAAACAAGCCACGGCUAACUACGUGCC
rnacentral:rRNA from 1 species